rnacentral:rRNA from 1 species
GACGAACGCUGGCGGCGUGCCUAAUACAUGCAAGUAGAACGCUGAAGCGAGGAGCUUGCUCUUCUUGGAUGAGUUGCGAACGGGUGAGUAACGCGUAGGUAACCUGCCUUUUAGCGGGGGAUAACUACUGGAAACGAUAGCUAAUACCGCAUAACAAUUGAUGACACAUGUCAUUUAUUUGAAAGGGGCAAUUGCUCCACUACAAGAUGGACCCGCGUUGGAUUAGCUGGUAGGUGAGGUAAUGGCUCAACUAAGCCAACGUACCUAGCCGGCCCGGGAGGGUGGUCCGCCACAACGGGAACGGGACACGGCCCAGGCCUCUACCGGAGGCAGCCGGAGGGGAUCCUCGGCCAUUGGGGCAACGCUUGCCGGGCAACGCCGCGGGAGGUAAGAAGGUUGUCGGAUCGUAAAGAUCUGUUGUAAGUCAAGAACGGGUGUUAGAGUGGAAAGUUCACACUGUGACGGUAGCUUACCAGAAAGCGACGGCUAACUACGUG